UUUCCGUAGGUGAACCUGCGGAAGGAUCAUUAAUGAGUUGUCAUGGGGUUCGAUGCUGGCAGCCAGUUUUUGGAUGCAUGUGCUUGCCUUAACAGUCAUCUUCUUCCAAACACCUGUGCACAUUUUUGAGGGAGUCUUGAGUUGGUUGCCGCUCUUGGGUGAUUUUCUCACAUUCCCUUAAAUCAUUAUACGCUAUUAACAAUGUUGAACGUGCUCUGUGCCGCAAGGCUAUUAAUAUAAUACAACUUUUAACAACGGAUCUCUUGGCUCUC
rnacentral:misc_RNA from 1 species